CUUAUGAUUGCAAUCCUUAGCGGGUAGCUUUUGUGCCUGAUGCUCCAUUGAAUCACAAAAGCUUUGAUCCAAGUAUAAUGCCCAAAUCGAUGCAUUUUGUCUCCUUAAGCUGAUCUUUCCAAUUACUCCAUUCUCACAAAACAACAUAAACCCUAGCUAGCGUUAGAUCUCAUCACCAUGGGUGACUACAACGACGCCUUCAUGCGCAACCAAAACGUAGCCGUUCGUGGCACCACCAAGGGCCAGAACCGCGCCAAUGUUCUCCAGCUCAAACUGAUUGGGCAAAGCCACCCGACGGGUUUAACAGCUAAUCUGUUGAAGCUAUUUGAGCCUCGACCUCCACUGGAGUANCCUCCAGAGAAGAGAAAAUGCCCACCAUACAAUGGCAUGGCGCAGUUUGUGAGUCUGUUUGCUGAGCCUGGGGAUCCUGAAUAUGCUCCAUCGGUUCAGAAAGCUGAAAUUCCUGCACAAAGAAGGGCUAGAAUUCACAAAUUACGACUUGAGAAAGGUGCAGAGAAGGCUGCUAAGGAGCUUCAGAUAUAUGAUCCGAAUAAUGACCCAAAUAUUUCAGGAGAUCCAUACAAGACAUUGUUUGUUGCUAGGCUUAAUUAUGAGACAACUGAGAGUAGAAUUAAAAGGGAGUUUGAGUC
rnacentral:misc_RNA from 1 species